AUUGGACGCUGGCGGCAUGCUUUACACAUGCAAGUCGAACGGUAACAGGUUAAGCUGACGAGUGGCGAACGGGUGAGUAAUGCAUCGGAACGUGCCCGAUCGUGGGGGAUAACGCAGCGAAAGCUGCGCUAAUACCGCAUACGAUCUGAGGAUGAAAGCGGGGGACCGUAAGGCCUCGCGCGAUCGGAGCGGCCGAUGUCGGAUUAGCUAGUUGGUGAGGUAAAGGCUCACCAAGGCGACGAUCCGUAGCGGGUCUGAGAGGAUGAUCCGCCACACUGGGACUGAGACACGGCCCAGACUCCUACGGGAGGCAGCAGUGGGGAAUUUUGGACAAUGGGGGCAACCCUGAUCCAGCCAUGCCGCGUGAGUGAAGAAGGCCUUCGGGUUGUAAAGCUCUUUUGUCAGGGAAGAAAUGGACUGGGCUAAUACCCUGGUUAGAUGACGGUACCUGUAGAAUAAGCACCGGCUAACUACGUGCCAGCAGCCGCAGUAAGAC
rnacentral:rRNA from 1 species